CAAAGAGCUUUAUUGUUCAAAGUUGCAAUAUUUAAUUGGAGAUAAAGAAAGCAGAUAAACUAAAAAAAAUGCUAUAUCUAUUCAUGACACGAAUAACUCAUGAUUCAUUUCAAUAUGGUAGUAACAUGUUUGAAGCACAUUAGUGGAUGAAGCAAGCUUAAAAUGGAUUCUGUAGGACAUACCACUGAAAGUAAUGAUUUAUGUCUUUUGUGAUGGAAAAUACAUCCAUAAAAUCGGCGGAUGAAGGACAAAGAAAGCUCAUUCUCCUUUAAUUUCUCACUUAUUCAGUCCUUUGUAGUAUUAGUGUGUAAAGAAAAGAGAAGGGAUGGAGCCAAUACUUAGAAAAAUAAACCUACAACUUCAUUGUACACGGAACACUAGACAAAAUUUUUUCAAAUCUUGAAUAUCAUGCUUAAACACAAAUCAAUUCAUAAGGCCCAAAACGUGAUUCCUAAUUGAAGUAACCAAGACUAAACAACAAAACAAUUACAUAUACCUUCAAAUACCACUCCUAAAUGACGAUUUCCAAAUUCAGAUAUUGGACCUCAAACCAAUCAAUUCUCCCUUAGCUCAAUCGCUCAAACAGACUUAACAAAAUGCCACAACCCAAGCAUGACAGCAUGUGUAUUCAAAACAGAAGAGAUUCAUAAUAACUUCAUUUUUGUUCGUACGAGUUGCAGCCAACAAGUCUUAAACAAAUGAUCCAUAUCAAUUUAUGAUUAGUCUCGACAUUCUUACCUCUACUUCAGUGAGUGAACAUUUCAUUAACAAACAAUCUAGUUCAGAACUAUUGUGAACUUACUUAAUGCUCAAUUAGUAGUGCAACACAAAACAUGUUGACAUUUAGUCACUAACAUACUGAUUUUAUAACAAAACAACAUCAAUAGAACAACACUAGUUAAUGACUAAUUCUAUAUAUUUUUUAAAAAGAGCAAAAAGAAAUUACUAACAGAUAACAAUAAGAUGACAAAUCUGGAAAUUGAGCACAAGGAAUACAGAGAAUUGAACGCAUUCAUAGGGCCAACAAUCACAAAUAUUCAUUUAUAUUCAAAAGAGGAUUUCAGAUAAAUGUAUACGUACCAAAACAGCUGAAAGUAAACAAAAGACAACCAGCAAAGGUUUGAAAUAGAAGGUAAGGUCUAGCAACAGAAACAACAACGAGCAGCAAGCUUCUGCAACCUAGAUGUCACUCAAAAGUUCCCAAAAAUUGAAAUAACAGAGUAGAAAUUAAAAUAACCUUCAAAUCCUUUAAUUUUAAGUUUUUUCGUUCUCUUUUAGUUCUGUCCUUGUUCCCCAGCGAGAAGCAACAGAUGGAGCUCGGGAGAUAGUCCACUUCAGCCAAAUUAAAAGUAAAUCACAGCAAAUGGAGCUCAGAAAAUAGACGUCGGUUCUUUGAUUUAUGAGAGAUGAGUGUUUUUCUUCAGAUUUCAAAAUACAAUUGUUUAGAUCUAGAAAUUUCCUUGCCGAGAUCUUUUUUUUUUGUUUUUUGUGUCAGUCCCCCUUAUGGUCAGAUGAGCGUGUUUCUAUGGGAGCUAGGGCGUGGAAAUCCCAUCAUUCUUGUUGUGUGUGUUCUUAGGAAAAAAAAUGGGGAAAUUCGCGUGUCCCCUUCUUCCAUCUGAUCUCUGUAUUUGUAGGUGAAGGAGUGAAGAAGAAGGGUUGAAAAUUGGGGAAUGAGCCAUGCCUUUCCCGUGUCUCUAAGGGGAGGGUAUCAGCUAAAUGGGAUUUGGGUGAUUUUUG
rnacentral:lncRNA from 1 species